GUUCCUGCUCAGAACCAGGAUGUGCAAACACGGACAUUUACGGAAAGGGCGACGCCUGGGCCUCUGGGUUUCAUCAGCGGCACCUGGCAGGCUGAGGCUCCAAGGUCUCCCGGCAGCGCUCGAUGAGAGAAAUGCCGAGGAGGAAGCAGUCGCUGUUUCACUGGCUGGGCAAAUAAACAGCAGCAAUUUUGCGAAAGCCAAAGGAAGACUGAAUUUCUCAGAACCCUAACGCACACAAGUGAACUUCAGGAAGUAUUGCAACUCUUCUUUUCUUUUUUUAGAAAGGGGUGGGCAGCCAAAGGAUCAAAGGAAACAUUCACCAACAGGACUGGGUUUCCUCCCCACACACUGGGGGCGUCGAUGUUACUCAAACAGUUCACAAAUGUCCUCCACAAAUAUACCAGGGCCGGUGCAUGUAGCUCAGGGGUAGAGGACUUUCUUUCCUCCUGCGAGACUCUGGGGUUUGACUCCUAGUACAGCAAAGAAAAAGUAAAAUAAAAACAAGUAAUGAACUUAGCAAACACACUAGGAUCCUAGCGAGCCGAAAUGACAUCAUCCAUUUCUAGAAGGUAACGACGUUCUAUGCAGUUGGUUUCUUGUGACAAAUGUACUAUAAUCGUUUUAAAAAUGACGUUAGGGG
rnacentral:lncRNA from 1 species